rnacentral:tRNA from 1 species
GCCGGGGUGGCCGAGCGGCCCAAGGCGCGGGACUCGAGAUCCCGUCCCCGUUCAGGGGGCGUGGGUUCAAAUCCCACCCCCGGCG